rnacentral:tRNA from 1 species
CAAAAUGUAGCUUAAACAAAGCACCUCGCUUACACCGAGUAAAAUGCCUGAUAAACCCGGGCCAUCUUGA